GGAUUUAUUCAUUAACUACGGUGUCGCAGAAUGCUUUGCCUUUCUUAUCUGCACAAAAUGGUACAACCCUGCAAUCCACAGACAGUCAAGUCUGCGUACACCCAGCUCUUCUAUAACAAGUUCUUCUAUAACAAGCAUGAGAUAUCUUACCCGGAACAGUGGAUUUCUUGCAUCUGUGGAUGAAGAUGAUCAGCAUAGUGGAAUAUGCAGUUUGCAGGACAUUGGUG
rnacentral:misc_RNA from 1 species